GUGUCAGCAGCCGCGGUAAUACGGAGGGUGCAAGCGUUAUCCGGAUUUACUGGGUUUAAAGGGUGCGUAGGUGGGCAGGUAAGUCAGUGGUGAAAUCUUCAAGCUUAACUUGGAAACUGCCAUUGAUACUAUUUGUCUUGAAUAUCCUGGAGGUAAGCGGAAUAUGUCAUGUAGCGGUGAAAUGCUUAGAUAUGACAUAGAACACCCAUUGCGAAGGCAGCUUACUACGGGAUUAUUGACACUGAGGCACGAAAGCGUGGGGAUCAAACAGGAUUAGAUACCCUGGUAGUCC
rnacentral:rRNA from 1 species